UCCUACGGGAGGCAGCAGUGGGGAAUAUUGGACAAUGGGCGCAAGCCUGAUCCAGCCAUGCCGCGUGAGUGAUGAAGGCCUUAGGGUUGUAAAGCUCUUUCACCGGGGAAGAUAAUGACGGUACCCGGAGAAGAAGCCCCGGCUAACUUCGUGCCAGCAGCCGCGGUAAUACGAAGGGGGCUAGCGUUGUUCGGAAUUACUGGGCGUAAAGCGCACGUAGGCGGAUAUUUAAGUCAGGGGUGAAAUCCCAGAGCUCAACUCUGGAACUGCCUUUGAUACUGGGUAUCUAGAGUAUGGGAGAGGUGAGUGGAAUUCCGAGUGUAGAGGUGAAAUUCGUAGAUAUUCGGAAGAACACCAGUGGCGAAGGCGGCUCACUGGUCCAUUACUGACGCUGAGGUGCGAAAGCGUGGGGUGCAAACAGGAUUAGAUACCCUGGUAG
rnacentral:rRNA from 1 species